CAUCACUAGAUGCGGGCGGGGCCUUUUGGAUUCACUAGACCAAGUGUGUUUAUUCUGCUGCCGCGGCCGCAAGUUUCACUCCACAGCCAUAAAAAACACAUCAAAAUGGAGGUACACUCGUCCUGCUUCUCACAAAAUCGGAAAUUGUACAGCUUGCCCAGGAGGUGAGUACAUUCCUUAGGAGCCAGAGAUUCUGCACUUGUCAUGGGCUGUGUGCUUCGAUCGCACACGCACGGACUUGGCCGCUCGUGCGCGCGCGGGCACACACACAUACACACACACACACACACACACUGUUUCCAUGAGUGCAUUACUGUCUGUCUUUCUCUCUUACUGUUUUUCUGUCAGAUUCUGCACUUGUCAUGGGCUGUGUGCUUCGAUCGCACACGCACGGACUUGGCCGCUCGUGCGCGCGCGAGCACACACACACACACACACACACACACACACACUGUUUCCAUGAGUGCAGUACUGUCUCUCUUUCUCUCUUACUGUCUCUCUGUCAGAUUCUGCACUUGUCAUGGGCUGUGUGCUUCGAUCACACACGCACAUGCACACGCGUGGGCUCGGCCGCGCGCGCGCGCGGGCACACACACACACACACACACUGUUUCCAUGUGUGCAUUACUGUCUCUCUGUCAGUAGAAAAUACAGCCCCAAUAUGAACUUUGUUGUUACAGUUCUUGUCUUUAACUCUUUUAACAUACUAACUUCUUUUUCUUCUACUUCUGCUUUUCUUUUCUAUACUUUCUACAUUUAUACAAUUAAUUUCACUUCAGCUGUUUCAUACUUUCUACAUUCAGAUGUAGGGCAGUAACUGAAGCAGGGCAAUAGAUGGUGCUGUUCUGCAUUCUCAAGUUACUAUGGUUGGAUGCUGCAGACUGCAAAAAUCUGUUUUACUAUUUGUACAUUUAAUAGGAACAUUGUUACACAUUGUUUAAAGGCAUUUGUUUUUCAAAUUCAAUUAUCCAUAUCAGUUCUGUUUAUUCACAUCAAUCAUAUACAUUUUUCACUUAGGCUAUCAGACAAUUUGUACAUUAAUCCAACUAAUUUACCUCCAGCUAUACUACAAUUCUUCCAUUCAUACAAUUUCUUCUUCUUCUACUCCACCUUUUCUACAGUUUUUCCGUUUAUACCUUCCUCCAUUUUUUAUUGGCAGUUUUGCAUUGCUUUUUCAGCUUUCAGCACUCAGCAUUUCCACGCAUUUUCUGCAAGGAAAUGCAAUUUUUCUAGUAUUAUACUUAACACUCUCCCCAUACGUUUCUUUGGACCGCUUCUCCUCCUUCAAACUUUGUCCGAUUUCAACCGUUCAAACUUUUGACUAUUCCACUCCUUCAGGACAUGAUGGCUAUUACUUUUCUCUUUUCUACCCUUUAUACUUUUUAUUAUUUUUCACUUUUUGUGCCAAACUUUUUUUCCCAUAGAAAUGAAUGGGGAAAUCUUCCAAUUCUUCCUGUUAUUCGUCCACCUUCUAAGCCUUAUAACUUCAGUAUACUUUCACCUAGAGACCUCAUUUUUGCUUUAAAAUGUUCAUUGUCUUGUCGACUAUUGAUAUUGUAUUAACCUUUUUCGGCUUUCUUUUACAGUUUUUCCACAAUUUAGCUUUAUGCAACUUGUGGUUUUCAGCAAAUUUCAGGCUUUAUAAUAGGGGUGUAUUGGAGAGGCUAGAGUGAGGAUUUGAAAAGCUAGAGUGCAGACCUCGUCUCUGAUCGACAGAACCUCGCUCGAAUAUAUCGCUCCCACGCCCACAAAUCUCACUCCACUGACACAAAAAAUACAUCAAAAUGGAGGUAUAUGUGUCCUGCUUCUCACAAAAGAGGUUUCAAAUCAUUAAAUCCUACCCUUUAGCCAGCAGGUGACCAACUGUCCAAAUAGACGGAAAUCUCUCUCCAUUAGACCUAAUGUACUUCUUCUCCAAGAAAAUCCUUUUCCCCACUCAGGUUCAGACUUUUUUAACUCGCUGUUGUGGCCACAUUUUUCGGAGUACAGACAUGAAAAAGACAUCAUUGUGUUCAUGAAGGACGGAGGAUUCGUACGAUGUUCUUAUUUUCAUUCUGGGACUUAAGGAAAUCACGCUAUGUGAAGAAGUUCACAGGCUGAAAUUCACUGCAGUUCAGCACCUCUCAGUCAAACAGUAGGUUAGUGAUUUGCCUUUGAUCUCACAGCUGUUUAGGAUGCAGUCAUUAACGAGACACACACACACACACACACACACACACACACGCACACACAUUCUUGUACUUGUUGCUUUUUGAGGUCCACCUUGCAGUUCAGCUGCUUGUACACACAGUUAAUAUGUGUCUGCUUCACCACCUAUCUCCACCCACAAACUUUGAGCUACAGAAACCAUUCUGGGCUUCAAAAAUUCAGCUCAUUGAAGAUAUUAUGGGGUGUUUUGAGGAUUGUGAUAAUAAAUUGUAUUAAUGUGUUUAGCAGAGUCUUGUGUUCUCACAAGCUCCUUAUCAGGAAUAGAUACAGAGGAUGAGCGUCAGGGCCUACUUGGAGUCCUGUUUCCUUAGCUUCAAGCCUUCUUUCUCCUGCUAUAGUUAUGCAUCCAAGGUCCCCAUGGCAACCAAUUUGUGCACCUGGAGACACACAGCUGACUGGAAAGCUGCUUCUAAUGGCCAUAUGAGACACAUGAAGCCAGGCUCAGCACACAUAGCACUGGGGAUGACACUUAAAACCCUUUACUAGAGCGCUUGAAAAAACUUCAGCCCCUAUCUCCUCACAUGACCUUUGACCUACAGAAACCAUUCAGGGCUUUAAAAUUUAAGCUCAUUGAGGACAUUAUGGGGUGUAUUUAGGAUUUAUAUACAUUUAGAUUUUUCACAUUUUAAAGUUACUCAGUGAUGAUUUAUCAUUUAAUUUUUCAAACUAAUUUGAACUGAUUCAAACUGAUUCAAACCUUUCUAAUACUUAAAAAAUUAAACUUAUGCCACUUCCCACAUUCCUGCCUUUUAAGGCAAUUUCCUUCUUCAUUCAAACUUUGUGCAAUUUUAGACAUUUUUCUAGCCUCUUUCAGCAUGAAUAAAAUUUCUUUUUAUAGAGCAUAUUCAUACUAUUUGUCCUUCAACCAAUUAAUCAAUUAUCCAACUUACAUUUCUUUCACACCCCUUCAACAGCUUUAACAUUUAUACAUUUCUCCAUGUUUUAUUAGCAGUUUAGCAUUGCUUUUUCAGCUUUCAGCACUCAGCAUUUCCACGCAUUUUCUGCAAGGAAAUGCAAUUUUUCUAGUAUUAUACUUAACACUCUCCCCAUAUGUUUCUUUGGACCGCUUCUCCUCCUUCAAACUUUGUCCGAUUUCAACCGUUCAAACUUUAAACUAUUCCACUCCUUCAGGACAUGAUGGCUAUUACUUUUCUUUUAUCUACCCUUUAUACUUUUUAUUAUUUUUCACUUUUUGUGCCAAACUUUUUUUCCCAUAGAAAUGAAUGGGGAAAUCUUUCAAUUCUUCCUGUUAUUCGUCCACCUUCUAAGCCUUAUAACUUCAGCAUACUUUCACCUAGAGACCUCAUUUUUGCUUUAAAAUGUUCAUUGUCUUGUCGACUAUUGAUGUUGUAUUAACCUUUUUGUGCUAUCUUUUACAGUUUUUCCACAAUUUAGCUUUAAGCAACUUGUGGUUUUCAGCUAAUUUUCAGGCUUUAUAAUGGGUGUGUAUUGGAGAGUUUAGAGUGAGGAUUUGAAAAGCUAGAGUGCAGACCCCGUCUCUGAUCGACAGAACCUCGCUCGAAUAUAUCGCUCCCACGCCCACAAAUCUCACUCCACAGCCAUAAAUAAUACAUCAAAAUGGAGGUAUAUGUGUCCUGCUUCUCACAAAAGAGGUUUCAAAUCAUUAAAUCCUACCCCUUGGCCAGCAGGUGACCAACUGUCCAAGGAAGGCGGAUAUCUCUCCCAUUGACCAUAAUGUUAUUUUUCUCCAAGAAAAUCCGGAUCAUCGCUCAGGCUCAGACUUUUUUAACUCGCUGUUGUGGCCUCAUUUUUCGAAGUACAGACAUGAAAAACACAUCAUUGUGUUCAUGAAGGACGGAGGAUUCGUACGAUGUUCUUAUUUUCAUUCUGGGAUUUAAGGAAAUCGUGCUAUGUGAAGAAGUUCAGAACCCUAAAUUCAAUGCAGUUCAGCAGCUUCUCCAUUCAAACAAUAGGUCAAUAGGUCAUGGCUUUGAUGUCACAGCUGUUUAGGAUGCAAUCAUUAACGAGACGCACACACACACGCACACACAUUCUUGUACUUGUUGCUUUUUGAGGUCUACCUUGCAGUUCAGCUGCUUGUACACACAGUUAAUUUGUGUCUGCUUCACCACCUAUCUCCACCCACAAACUUUGAGCUACAGAAACCAUUCUGGGCUUCAAAAAUUCAGCUCAUUGAAGAUAUUAUGGGGUGUUUUGAGGAUUGUGAUAAUAAAUUGUAUUAAUGUGUUCAGCAGAGUCUUGUGUUCUCACAAGCUCCUUAUGAAUAUAUACAGAGGGUGAGCGUCAGGGCCUACUUGGAGUCCUGUUUCUUUAGCUUCAAGGCUAUUUUCUCCUGCUAUAGUUAUGCAUCCAAGGUCCCCAUGGCAACCAAUUUGUGCACCUGGAGACACACAGCUGACUGGAAAGCUGCUUCUAGUGGCCAUAUGAGACACAUGAAGCCAGGCUCAGUACACAUAGCAAUUGGGAUGACACUUAAAACCCUUUCCUAGAGCGUUGGAAAAAACUUCAGCCCCUAUCUCCUCACAUGACCUUUGACCUACAGAAACCAUUCAGGGCUUUGAAAUUUAAGCUCAUUGAGGACAUUAUUGGGUGUAUUUAGGAUUGUUAUUCAUUUAAAUUUUUCACAUUUUAAAAGUCAGUCAGUGAUGAUUUAUCAUUUAAUUUUUCAAACUAAUUUAAACUCAUUCAAACUGAUUCAAACCUUUCUAAUACUUCAAAACUUUCUGAUACUUGAGGAUUUUUGAUAAUUUAAAAUUUCCCUGAUUUAAAUUAGUUUUAAUAUUUAUGCAUUACUCCAUCAUUCAAACAAAAUCCUACCUCAAGUACGACAACUACUGCUAAUGUCAAUUAAACUAGAACUUUCCCCUCUACUUCAACUGCUAUUGCUCCUAUUUCUACUUUCUUUACUACUUUGACUUAUACUUCUUUUAUUCUCAAUCUACUUCUACUGCCGACAUGACUACUAGUAUCAUAACUUGACUUCUUAUCAUACUACUUCUAGUACUACAAUUUAAACUUAUGCCACUUCUCACCUUCCUGCCUUUUAAGGCAAUUUCCUUCUUCAUUAAAACUUUGUGCAAUUUUCGACAUUUUUCUAGCCUCUUUCAGCAUGAAUAAAAUUUCCUUUUAUAGAGCAUAUUCAUACUAUUUGUCCUUCAACCAAUUAAUCAAUUAUCCAACUUAUAUUUCUGUUCACCCCUUCAACAGCUUUAACAUUUAUACCUUUCUCCAUGUUUUAUUAGCAGUUUAGCAUUGCUUUUUCAGCUUUCAGCACUCAGCAUUUCCACGCAUUUUCUGCAAGGAAAUGCAAUUUUUCUAGUUAUUAUUAUUCUUCCGUACCUUUUUUGGCCCUUUUCAACUCCUCACCACUUUGUGCUAUUUUCACCAUUCAAACUUUAUACUAAUGCACUCCUUCAGGACAUUACGGCUAUUACUUUUCACCUUUCUACCAUUUAUACUUUUUGCAAUAUUUCACUUUUUCUGCAAAAUUUGUUCCAUUACAAAUGAAUGGAGAUACAGCUAUAACACCUUCUCACCCUUAUAACUUCUGCAUACUUUCACCUACAGACCUCAUUUUUGCUUUAAAAUGUUCAGCAACGUGUCUGCUACAAAUGUUGUAUUCACUCCUUUUUGCUAUUUCCUACCGUUUUUGCACAAUUUCGCUUGGAGCAACAUGAAGUCUUCUGCCUUUUUCAGCCUGACUCACGCUACAGCGCGUGACGUCAGAUGUGACGUCACCGCUAGAUGCGGCCGGAGCCUUUUGGAUUCACUAGACCAAGCGUGUUUAUUUUGCUGCCGCGGCCGCAAGUUUCACUCCACAGCCAUAAAAAACACAUCAAAAUGGAGGUACACUCGUCCUGCUUCUCACAAAAUCGGUCUGAAGUCAUGAAAUUGUACAGCUUGCCCAGGAGGUGAGUACAUUCCUUAGGAGCCAGAGAUUCUGCACUUGUCAUGGGCUGUGUGCUUCGAUCGCACACGCACGGACUUGGCCGCUCGUGCGCGCGCGGGCACACACACACACACACACACACACACACACACACACACACUGUUUCCAUGAGUGCAUUAAUGUCUCUCUUUCUCUCUUACUGUCUCUCUGUCAGAUUCUGCACUUGUCAUGGGCUGUGUGCUUCGAUCACACACGCACAUGCACACGCACGGGCUCGGCCGCGCGCGCGCGCGGGCACACACACACACACACACACACACACACUGUUUCCAUGUGUGCAUUACUGUCUGUCAGUAGAAAAUACAGCCCCAAUAUGAACUUUGUUGUUACAGUUCUUGUCUUUAACUCUUUUAACAUACUAACUUCUUCUUUUUCUUCUACUUCUGCUUUUCUUUUCUAUACUUUCUACAUUUAUACAAUUAAUUUAACUUCAGCUGUUUCAUACUUUCUACAUUCAGAUGUAGGGCAGUAACUGAAGCAGGGCAAUAGAUGGUGCUGUUCUGCAUUCUCAAGUUACUAUGGUUGGAUGCUGCAGACUGCAAAAAUCUGUUUUACUAUUUGUACAUUUAAUAGGAACAUUGUUACACAUUGUUUAAAGGCAUUUGUUUUUCAAAUUCAAUUAUCCUUAUUAUCAGUUCUGUUUAUUCACAUCAAUCAUAUACAUUUUUCACUUAGGCUAUCAGACAAUUUGUACAUUAAUCCAACUAAUUUACCUAAAGCUAUACUACAAUUCUUCCAUUCAUACAAUUUCUUCUUCUUCUACUCCACCUUUUCAACAGUUUUUCCAUUCAUACCUUCCUCCAUUUUUUAAUGGCAGUUUUGCAUGGCUUUCAGCUUUCAGCACUCAGCAUUUCCACGCAUUUUCUGCAAGGAAAUGCAAUUUUUCUAGUUA